rnacentral:rRNA from 1 species
UACAGAGGGUGCAAGCGUUGUUCGGAAUUACUGGGCGUAAAGCGCGUGUAGGCUGCGACGUAAAUCAGGUGUGAAAGCCCUCAGCUUAACUGAGGAAGUGCACUUGAUACUGCGUCGCUUGAGUGUCGGAGGGGGUGGCGGAAUUCCCGGUGUAGAGGUGAAAUUCGUAGAUAUCGAGAGGAACAUCGGUGGCGAAGGCGGCCUUCUGGACAGUGACUGACGCUGAGACGCGAAAGCGUGGGGAGCAAACAGG